UAAGGAAUAUUGGUCAAUGGACGCAAGUCUGAACCAGCCAUGCCGCGUGAAGGAUGAAGGUCCUCUGGAUUGUAAACUUCUUUUAUCUGGGACGAAAACGGGAUUUUUAUCUCAAUUGACGGUACCAGAGGAAUAAGCACCGGCUAACUCCGUGCCAGCAGCCGCGGUAAUACGGAGGGUGCGAGCGUUAUCCGGAUUUACUGGGUUUAAAGGGUGCGUAGGUGGGCUUAUAAGUCAGUGGUGAAAUCUCCGAGCUUAACUUGGAAACUGCCGUUGAUACUAUAGGUCUUGAAUUAUCUGGAGGUAAGCGGAAUAUGUCAUGUAGCGGUGAAAUGCUUAGAUAUGACAUAGAACACCAAUUGCGAAGGCAGCUUACUACAUAUAAAUUGACGCUGAGGCACGAAAGCGUGGGGAUCAGACA
rnacentral:rRNA from 1 species